AGAGGAAGUAAAAGUCGUAACAAGGUUUCCGUAGGUGAACCUGCGGAAGGAUCAUUACUGGGGGAUUAUUGCUAUUAUUAUUAUAGUCAAUUCUUUUUAAACCCUCUGUGUAUUUUACCUGUUUUUGGGGUGAUGGAAUGUGUAUUCCAUAGAGCAAAACAACUAAACUCUUAUUCAUAAUGAUAUUUGUCUGAUUUUGUAUAAAUUAAAAGUUAAAACUUUCAACAACGGAUCUCUUGGUUCUCGCAUCGAUGAAGAACGCAGCGAAAUGCGAUAAGUAGUGUGAAUUGCAGAAUUCAGUGAAUCAUCGAAUCUUUGAACGCACAUUGCGCCUUCUGGUAUUCUGGGAGGCAUGCCUGUUUGAGCGUCAUUAAACCCCACUCUAGCAGUUUUGCUUGGAAAUGAAGGAAGAAAGAGCACAUUGUAAAAAGGCCAGUGUGCACUUUCUCCUUUGAAAUGUAUUAGUAGAUUUACAGUUGUGAAUUACACUGUUUGUAAUAUAAUAGUCUAAUUUGUAUACAACUAUAUCUUGCUUUAACAUAUAUUUUUUGGGCUGUGGGUAAACACACUUCAAAAAAAUAUAAUUAUUUUUUGGUUGACCUCAAAUCAGGUAGGGAUACCCGCUGAACUUAAGCAUAUCAAU
rnacentral:rRNA from 1 species